AUUGAACGCUGGCGGCAUGCCUUACACAUGCAAGUCGAACGGCAGCGGGGACUUCGGUCCGCCGGCGAGUGGCGAACGGGUGAGUAAUGUAUCGGAACGUACCAUUCAGUGGGGGAUAACUAUCCGAAAGGAUAGCUAAUACCGCAUAUUCUGUGAGCAGGAAAGCAUGGGAUCGCAAGACCUUGCGCUGAUUGAGCGGCCGAUAUCAGAUUAGCUAGUUGGUGAGGUAACGGCUCACCAAGGCUACGAUCUGUAGCGGGUCUGAGAGGAUGAUCCCCCACACGGGACCUGAGAAACGGCCCAGACUCCUACGGGAGGCAGCAGUGGGGAAUUUUGGACAAUGGGCGCAAGCCUGAUCCAGCCAUGCCGCGUGAGUGAAGAAGGCCUUCGGGUUGUAAAGCUCUUUCGGCCGGGAAGAAAUCGCAUCAGCUAAUACCUGGUGUGGAUGACGGUACCGGAAUAAGAAGCACCGGCUAACUACGUGCCAGCAGCCGCCGUAAAAC
rnacentral:rRNA from 1 species